UACGUAGGGGUCGAGCGUUGUCCGGAGUUACUGGGCGUAAAGCGUGCGCAGGCGGCUCAUCGCGCUCGGCGUGAAAGCCCCCGGCUCAACCGGGGAGGGUCGUCGAGGACGGGUGAGCUUGAGGGUAUCAGGGGUUGGUGGAAUUCCCGGUGUAGUGGUGAAAUGCGCAGAUAUCGGGAGGAACACCAAUGGCGAAGGCAGCUCGCUGGGACGGUACUGACGCUGAGGCGCGAAAAGCGUGGGGAGCAAACAGG
rnacentral:rRNA from 1 species